GACGAACGCUGGCGGCGUGCCUAAUACAUGCAAGUAGAACGCUGAAGAGAGGAGCUUGCUCUUCUUGGAUGAGUUGCGAACGGGUGAGUAACGCGUAGGUAACCUGCCUUGUAGCGGGGGAUAACUAUUGGAAACGAUAGCUAAUACCGCAUAACAAUGGGUGACACAUGUCAUUUAUUUGAAAGGGGCAAUUGCUCCACUACAAGAUGGACCUGCGUUGUAUUAGCUAGUAGGUGAGGUAACGGCUCACCUAGGCGACGAUACAUAGCCGACCUGAGAGGGUGAUCGGCCACACUGGGACUGAGACACGGCCCAGACUCCUACGGGAGGCAGCAGUAGGGAAUCUUCGGCAAUGGGGGCAACCCUGACCGAGCAACGCCGCGUGAGUGAAGAAGGUUUUCGGAUCGUAAAGCUCUGUUGUAAGUCAAGAACGAGUGUGAGAGUGGAAAGUUCACACUGUGACG
rnacentral:rRNA from 2 species